AAUCAAAGAACAUAAGCAAAAUGUUUCCAAGGGUAACCUCUGUAUGGCGCUAGCCUUGAGAGCCUAUCAGAAGGAUACUGAAAUUUCUUGGCAAAACGCACGAAUUCUAAAGAACAUUUAUGACCGUAGAACCCUUCCCACAGCGGAAAAACUAGAGAUCCUGCGAGCCAGACAGGGACAGAAUGUCAUCAACCUUCGACAAGCUGACACACUUAGUACGGCCUGGAAAUACGCAGUGCAAAAGAACUUAUGAUGCCUUGCGCUACCCACGCAGAAGGUUUAAUAUACCUCGCUCUUCCUUGUCUACGGACAACUUAACUGGACUACGUUUUGGGUUCUAAUUUAUUUUC
rnacentral:lncRNA from 1 species